rnacentral:rRNA from 1 species
CUCGUAGCUUGCUAUGAGAACAAUUAGUGGCAGACGGGUGAGUAAUGCAUAGGAAUCUACCUAGUAGUAUAGGAUAGCCACUAGAAGUGGUGGGUAAUACUGUAUAAUCCCUGCGGGGGAAAGAUUUAUCGCUACAUGAUGAGCCUAUGUUAGAUUAGCUAGUUGGUGGGGUAAUGGCCUACCAAGGCAGUGAUCUAUAGCUGGUCUGAGAGGAUGAUCAGCCACACUGGGACUGAGACACGGUCCAGACUCCUACGGGAGGCAGCAGUGGGGAAUAUUGGACAAUGGGCGCAAGCCUGAUCCAGCUAUGCCGCGUGAGUGAGGAAGGCCUUAGGGUUGUAAAACUCUUUCAGUGGGGAAGAUAAUGACGGUACCCACAGAAGAAGUCCCGGCAAACUCCGUGCCAGCAGCCGCGGUAAUACGGAGGGGGCAAGCGUUGUUCGGAAUUAUUGGGCGUAAAGGGCACGUAGGUGGUUUGGUUAGUUAAAGGUGAAAUGCCAGGGCUUAACCCUGGAGCUGCCUUUAAUACUGCCAGACUGGAGUCCGGGAGA